AGACCUGAGGAAGUGCCCACAUGGCGUGUCUGCCAUGGGGGAAUGCAGCUUUGCUGUCAUUGUCACUGAGCUGCCAUUUAACUGAAGGUUUACAGCAGCCCCAAAGUGUCUGCUGGCCUCCUCAUGGAAAGUGGAAAAGGCAAGGGCAGGGAAGGGCUCAUCUGAGUGACACUCUGUGCUGCCUGCUCUUCCUCCACUGCUUGACUUGGCAUCUGUCAUGGGUUAUGUAAACAAAUAAGAGGAACAAUCCACGCAGGGCCACUGGCUUUAACAUGCCUUUCCUGUGUCCCAGGGUGUGCGUAAGCAGGGAACACAGUGGGUGAUGACAGGGGUUUGUUCCUGCCUAGA
rnacentral:lncRNA from 1 species